ensembl:lncRNA
AGUGACAGUAUUUAUAUUUUACAAUACUGAGUAAAAUAUAUAUAUAUAUAUAUAUAUAUAAAUAUUUAUGUAAAAUAUAUAUAUAAAUUUCCAGAAAAAAAUAUUAAGCAGCACAACUGUUUUCAACAUUAAUGAUUAUAAGAACUGUUUCUUGAGCACCAAAUCAGGAUUUCUGAAGGAUCAUGUGACACUGAAGACUGGAGUAAUGAUGCUAAAAAUUCAGCUUUGAAUCACAGAAAUAAGUGACAUUUUACAAAUAUUUGAAAAUAUAUGUUAUUUUAAAUUGUAAUAAUAUUUUACAAUAUUGUUGUUUUACUGUAAUUUUCAUCAAAUAAAUGCAGCCUUGGUGAGAUUAGGAAAUGUAAAAAAAAAAAAAAAAAACUUUUUUUUCCCUCGAUCUAUGAAUGCAAUUAUAAAUGUCCUCCAAAAUAAGUAAACACAAUGACAUUCUUCUUAAUUUAAUGACUAAAAAUAAAAAAAAUAAAAAAACACCAUUACGGUAAUCUUAUUAUGUUAAUCUGUAAUAAAUGAAACCAAACGGGCUAGUCAACAGUGUUCAGGGCAAACCUGAUUUACUGGACAGAAUAAGCUCAAAAUGAGGCAGUUUCUAGCUGUCAUUUAGACAAUCGAGGCAAUUGUAUCCAAUCACAUUCCACUGCAUUACAGGCCACUGCACAUUUGGACAGUGUCCAGACGACGCUGUGAGACCUCAUGCUGGCUGGGAUGAUCGCUAACAUGCCAUCAGCAGAUCUCCACAGCCUGAAGGAGAAAUGCAGGAGACGCUGGACGGCUCUGGGUGCGGGACACACAUGGGAUGGCAGAUGCACCAGCAGGCAUUCUCCUGCUCGAUACGAUAACAUGCUGUUUCAUUCUGGAUGCUAGGGGGCAAUGCCAUGGCAUAUGUCUACGCAUAUCAGUGGAACCUAUCAGUGGAAAGAAUGGGCACUGCUUCAUGGAGACAGAACAUGCAUAUUCUUGUGCUUUUUGCUGUGUUUGAUAGCUGUACCAAAGACUGAGUGUCCCCUUGUGGACAUUUGAGGAAAUGCAUUUGGGUAGAUCAAGAUUUGAGGUCAGUAUUUACUCAAUUAUUCUCUUUACAGUUACUAUUUUCCACAAUUUAAAAUAAUGGUUAACAGUGGUAAUAGACGCAAUGGGUUGCAACUGUUGUUGAAUGGUUGGAAAGUAUUUGAGUCUCUAUUUAUAACUAACAAAAGCACAACAAAAAAGCUUAUUAGCAGGUAUGGAGUUAAUGCAAUCUUGCCUCAUCAGGGACUAAUUUACUUCCUAUCUUUUUGAAGGGCACACUUCAAUAAAUCAUUGUGUUAAAAUAGCUAAACUCUGUUC